rnacentral:rRNA from 1 species
GAUGAACGCUAGCUACAGGCUUAACACAUGCAAGUCGAGGGGCAGCAUGGUCUUAGCUUGCUAAGGCCGAUGGCGACCGGCGCACGGGUGAGUAUCACGUAUCCAACCUGCCGUCUACUCUUGGACAGCCUUCUGAAAGGAAGAUUAAUACAAGAUGGCAUCAUGAGUCCGCAUGUUCACAUGAUUAAAGGUAUUCCGGUAGACGAUGGGGAUGCGUUCCAUUAGAUAGUAGGCGGGGUAACGGCCCACCUAGUCUUCGAUGGAUAGGGGUUCUGAGAGGAAGGUCCCCCACAUUGGAACUGAGACACGGUCCAAACUCCUACGGGAGGCAGCAGUGAGGAAUAUUGGUCAAUGGGCGCAGGCCUGAACCAGCCAAGUAGCGUGAAGGAUGACUGCCCUAUGGGUUGUAAACUUCUUUUAUAAAGGAAUAAAGUCGGGUAUGUAUACCCGUUUGCAUGUACUUUAUGAAUAAGGAUCGGCUAACUCCGUG